AGUAUAGCUCAAUGGUAGAGCACUUGCCUAGCAUUUGCAAUACCCUGGGUUCAAUCCUCAGUACU
rnacentral:tRNA from 1 species